rnacentral:lncRNA from 1 species
AUAGCGUUACACACGAGGUGUUUAAUGCAGAACCAGAUGAAUCUGGUUGAUGAGCGCGGUUGUUGAAAAGCGG